rnacentral:rRNA from 1 species
GAUGAACGCUAGCUACAGGCUUAACACAUGCAAGUCGAGGGGUAACGAGAGGAAAGCUUGCUUUCCUUGUCGACGACCGGCGCACGGGUGAGUAACGCGUAUCCAACCUGCCCCCAACUAGGGAAUAACCUUGCGAAAGUAAGACUAAUACCCUAUAAUUUCCUCAGAUGUCAUCUGACGAGGAAUAAAGAUUUAUCGGUUGUGGAUGGGGAUGCGUCUGAUUAGCUUGUUGGCGGGGUAACGGCCCACCAAGGCAACGAUCAGUAGGGGUUCUGAGAGGAAGGGCCCCCACAUUGGAGCUGAGACACGGUCCAAACUCCUACGGGAGGCAGCAGUGAGGAAUAUUGGUCAAUGGGCGGAAGCCUGAACCAGCCAAGUAGCGUGCAGGAUGACGGCCCUAUGGGUUGUAAACUGCUUUUAUACAGGAAUAAAGUUAGCCACGUGUGGUUAUUUGUAGGUACUGUAUGAAUAAGGACCGGCUAAUUCCGUGCCAGCCGCCGCUGUAC